rnacentral:lncRNA from 1 species
UCUCUUAAAAUCUCAUCUUUUCUUUCAGAACAAAGAAAGUCCCAAGGAAAACCACCUUCUCUCUUGGAAUUUUCUGCUUGCCGUUUUAUUUUCUUUCUGGAGCUGAAACUACUGCUGAUCUAUCUUAUAUCUAUUGCGCUCUCUCGGCUUCACUUGAUCUCGAUCCCAAAGCAAGACUGCAUGAUCCGACCAAAAACCACGAUGGAGAGGUUGUCUUACCCUUAAAUUUUUUCCGUCUUUUCUCUAUUUUCAUUGAUAUUAUGUGUAUUAUUUAUAUU